ACAAAUAUAAAAUAGUAAGCUUAUUAAAUGUAAAUGUAAAAUAAUUUCAGUUUAAUUUUUAAAAAAGUAUUCAGGGGAAAAAAAGUGAAACAUGAAGUGAACGUAUUAAUACAAAUUAAGUGAAAAUUGAUAGCUUUGUGGAAAAUUACACUAAGAAGCUAUCAAUUUUCAUAAAAAGAAGAAAUAAACAUUUUAAUCAGGUUUCAGCAAAUAAAUAUUAGUAGUUUAAUCAACUGCUAAUAGAUUAAUAAACCUUAAUAAGGAUAAAAUAUGACAGUUUCUUUGGUCAUGGGAUUUAAUUUAAUUUAAAAAUCUCCAUAAAGAUACACGAAUUGCACUAGGCUUUUCCAAAGAGAAACUUUUCAAACAUAAUCAUAUAAUUUAUCGAAUAUUAAAAAUAAUUUUAUUUUAAUGAAUAAUUUCUUCCUAAUUAGAUUAUUUUCUUCAAUAAGACUUGAAAUAACUUACUAAAACGCGGAGACGGAGCCAGAUGUAAGUUAUGAAUAAGAAGAUAGAAAAAAAUAAGACAGAAACGAUGACGACAAGUUUACAGCGUCUCAGAGUAGCUGGAGACGUUUAUGGCGGCAGUAGACAUACAGUACGUUUGGGGACAAGCGUGAAUGAAUACAUCGAGUGACGGUUAGAAGCAGUAACUGUCUUGUUACAACCGCUAUAAAGUGGCUGUUUCUCUCCGACAGUGUGUUCUUUCAUUUUUGCCAAAGACACUCACAUCGCCGUUAUUACAAUUAGUUUAAGCUACUAUAAACUAUUUUUGCCGUGAUUUUUAUCUGUGUAAAGAUUUUUAUUGCUAAAUUAUAGGUUACUGGCCAAAAACGGAAGAAAAAAAACAAGUUUCUUCAAGAAACAGAAAUAAAGAUAAAGCAAAGGAUUUUAACAUCGUGAAGUACAGUUUCUAUAAAUCAAGAUUAUAUUAUGAAUUUAACAAGAUUCUGCACAGAAAAAAAAGAGAAUUUCCAUAGAUUAACAACGAAACUUUUUCGUAAUUUAGAAUAUUCUUUCGAGGACAUUUACUUUCCGUGUUAAUUAUGAACAUCUAUAUUAAAUAUGAUCUGAUUAUUUAUGUAAUAAAUUCAUUUUUUUAGAUUAGAGAUGAUUAUAAUGUUUACAAGCCAUGGAAUAAGUAACAAACUAUACAUGAAAUUUAAGAAAAUUUUAGUCUAUUGAUAGAGCUAGGCCUAUACAAACUGCUAAUUAAGAAAAUACAUUAACAGUGUUAUCUCUUGGUAAAAGCUUUAUUAAAAGCAA